CCUACGGGCGGCAGCAGUGGGGAAUUUUGCGCAAUGGGCGAAAGCCUGACGCAGCAACACCGCGUGGAGGAAGAUAGGCCUUCGGGUCUUAAACUCCUUUUGCAGGGGACGAAAAAAAUGACGGUACUCUGCGAAUAAGCCACGGCUAACUACGUGCCAGCAGCCGCGGUAAUACGUAGGUGGCGAGCGUUACUCGGAAUCACUAGGCGUAAAGCGCGUGUAGGCGGUAUUUUAAGUCUGUUGUGAAAUCUUAUGGCUCAACCAAAAAAUGUCGACAGAUACUGAAGUACUAGAGGGAGGCAGGGGAAACUGGAAUUCCAGGUGUAGGGGUGGAAUGCGUAGAUAUCUGGAAGAACGCCAAAGGCGAAGGCAGGUUUCGGGGCCUUUACUGACGCUGAGACGCGAAAGCUAGGGGAGCAAACAGGAUUAGAUCCCCGGGUAGU
rnacentral:rRNA from 1 species